rnacentral:rRNA from 1 species
UACGUAGGGGGCGAGCGUUAUCCGGAAUUAUUGGGCGUAAAGGGUGCGUAGGCGGCCAUUUAAGUCUGAGGUGAAAGUGCGGGGCUCAACCCCGUGAUGCCUUGGAAACUGAACGGCUAGAGUAUGGUAGAGGCAAGUGGAACUCCAUGUGUAGCGGUAAAAUGUGUAAAUAUAUGGAAGAACACCAGUGGCGAAGGCGGCUUGCUGGGCCAAGACUGACGCUGAGGCACGAAAGCGUGGGGAGCAAACA